rnacentral:rRNA from 1 species
UACGUAGGGGGCAAGCGUUGUCCGGAUUUAUUGGGCGUAAAGAGCGUGUAGGCGGCCAGGUAGGUCUGCUGUGAAAACUCGAGGCUUAACCUCGAGCUGUCGGCGGAAACCAUCUGGCUAGAGUCCGGAAGAGGAGAAUGGAAUUCCCGGUGUAGCGGUGAAAUGCGCAGAUAUCGGGAAGAACACCUAUGGCGAAGGCAGCACUCUGGGACGGUACUGACGCUGAGACGCGAAAGCGUGGGGAGCGAACAGG